GGUGGCGAUUUUUCUAGGGGUAACGGCACAGGUGGAGAAAGUAUUUACGGAGGCAAAUUUGCAGAUGAAAAUUUCAAGCUAACACAUGAUGGACCUGGCUUUCUUUCUAUGGCUAAUAGUGGUCCUAACACAAAUGGAUCUCAGUUCUUUAUUACAUUCAAGCGCCAACCUCAUCUUGAUG